CCUACGGGUGGCAGCAGUGAGGAAUAUUGGUCAAUGGCCGGAAGGCUGAACCAGCCAUGCCGCGUGAAGGUCAGUGCCCUAUGGGCGUUAAACUUCUUUUGUGCGGGAGCAAUAAUGGUCACGUGUGGCCAGACGAGAGUACCGUACGAAUAAGCAUCGGCUAACUCCGUGCCAGCAGCCGCGGUAAUACGGGGGAUGCAAGCGUUAUCCGGAUUUAUUGGGGUUAAAGGGUGCGUAGGCUGGGAGGUAAGUCAGCGGUGAAAUGCACCCGCUCAACGGGGUGAAGUGACAUUGAGGCGGCCUUGCUGGAAUGCGGAUGCCGUGGGAGGAAUGUGUGGUGUAGCGGUGAAAUGCAUAGAUAUCACACAGAACACCGAUUGCGAAGGCAUCUCACGAAUCCGCGAUUGACGCUGAUGCACGAAAGCGUGGGUAUCAAACAGGAUUAGAUACCCCGGUAGUC
rnacentral:rRNA from 1 species